UUGACCUCAAAUCAGGUAGGACUACCCGCUGAACUUAAGCAUAUCAAUAAGCCGGAG
rnacentral:rRNA from 1 species